rnacentral:lncRNA from 1 species
UUUGUGUGUCAAAGCUCCCUAAGGACCUCAAGGAUCGGGGGCAGUGCUCACACCAAUACCAUUUCUUAGAUGGGGGUUGAUUAUGUGCAGUGUGGAAGGGCUAGCCCUGGUAUGCCAUAGUUCAAAGGGAUCUCAAGAAUCCCUAAGAAGUACGCAUACCAGAGGGACAAAACUUAAUAACCUAGGAGUAGGGUGAGAGUGCUUGACAUAGUGUUGAAAUACUUAAUACAACCGUACCUAUAUUCACUUAACAAGUAGACUUACAAAUAGGGGUGGAGGGGAUUGUGAACAUAUAGGGCUGAAACCACAUAAACGAGGAAACACUUAAUACAACAAGUGGGCAGAACCACUAGGAAUCUAUUGAAUCAAGUUAAUUAUGGAGAAGGACUGUAAUAGAAUCAUGUUAAAGACAGAGAUGUGUUGAACAAAACUGGACAUACAAUUAGGACCAAUUGGAUGCACUGGAAAACUAAGUAACUAACAUAGUCAUACUAAUUAAAGAGAGGGGGUAAGGGACUAGGUAAAUAUACUAGGCAGGUAUUACAGAACUAAGUGGAGUCAGACAUGCUGAUUACACAUAAGGCAUAAUUUAGACAUGCUUAAUAACAGCAAACAACGAAAUAACUUGAGUAACUAAUACAGGAAUAAACAUGGAUGUAUAGACGAGCACAUGAGGUUGAGUUUCAAAAAUUAACUAGAGAUAUACCAGUUGUAGAAAAGAAUGCAGAAUGUAAAAAAUAGGGCAGUUCAACUAUUUAGCGUUGGCUUUCAGCCAGCUAGACCAACCGUCAACACAAGUAGUAAAUAAAGAAGAGAGAGUUUGAAUGUAUGUGUGUGUAUUCUCAAUUAUUGUUCGUGUGUUUAAGAGGUAGAAUAAGAUAUAGCACUUAAGGUGUGAAUCAAAAUAAGGUAAAAGAUCACAGUUCAAUCUAUUAGGAGCAACUAAUCACAGAAUCAAUUCCCAUAGAGGAGUCCGGAAUAAACCCCUUAAUUGGGUGGGGGUAAUCAAUUAACAGUCCCAACAUGAAGUCCAAUUAAGGUGAGAACUCAAAAACAUUCCAUGUAGGGAGUUAGUAGAAGUCCCAAAACAAUACUAAUAACUAAUUAAGGCAAGUAUGAUCAAUUAAGGUCACAAAUAAAGAAACAUAUAAAAUUUCGGCAAACACUGAUUUUAACAGGAUAUUAAUAGGAAUUAAUUAGUAAAAUUUUCAAAGAAUACUGAUUUUAUAGGACAGAAUUAUUCAGAUUUCCUAAAAUAGAUAUCAACUAAGCAAAAGAAAAUCCCAAAGAUACUAGAAUUAACAUGAACAUCACUUAAAUCCUUAAAUAGAAUCAGUGAGUGCAACUGAUUCACCAAAUCAACAUAAUAGAAGAAAUUGGUGUAGCCAUUAGAAGCAUAUAGGGUUCGAUCUUGUAUACAAGGAUUAACCAAAUACGUAAACAGAUUAAAAAUUAAAAGAACAAAAAUAUCUCGAAGAGAAGUCUAGGAAGAACCUUAAUUUGAAAACCUUGAGGUUGAUUGACAGUAUAGGGGGUCAAAGAACCCAUAAAGAAAAUAGCCAUAGUAACUUGAAAGUACUUCAAACAUAAUGAGAUUCGAACAAUAGAAGUUAGAGAAAUCAAAGACCUAAAGUAGGGAAGUGUUAAAAAUCGAUUAGUAGUAGAGAAGUAAAAAGAACCUUGGAGAACAACCAUGGAAAUUUGAACAUACUUUGGAUACACAUAGAUGCGACUAACAAACAACAAGAAAACCAAACCCUAAUAUAACAAAGUGCUCAAAAAAUUGGUUAAUUAGUAAAGAAAUAACUGAACCUUAAGGAAAAACCAAUGAUGAACUCAAAAUCGCUCUAGAUCCACAAGGAUCUGGACAGAUUCAAGUCCAAACACUAGGUUUUUGAAGAAAAGAGAAAGUGAAGAGAAUCUAAUCUCUGAAUUAGAUAUUUGAAUUGUAAAACAUCAUUAGAAAACACUCACAAAAGAGAAUCUAAUCUCUGAAUCAGAUAUUAGAAUUUUAAAACAUUGAUAGAAAAACACUCACAGACCUUUAAUGGACUGUUAGAGUGUCUUGAACAAGAUCUGGACUACAUCUCACCGAGAUUUUUCCAUGAAACCACACAAACGAGCAACCAGGAGAUGUAUGAGGCAGGAAGGGGUCUCAAACACCCAUGAGAACCCAUGGAUCGAGUGAGGACUGGAGGGAUUAGGGUUGGUUUUGGUUGGCGGCAGCUAGGGUUAGGUCUGGGUCUCAGAGAGAGUUUGAGAGAUGAAGGAGCGAAGGGCAGCAGAGUAUGGAGGGAAAUCAAU